CCCCCUGAUGCCAGUUUUCUCGGUUUGCAUAUACUCACCAACAUCACACAGACUGCCCUCCCAGCCGUCUGGGCAGAAACACUGGAAGGAGUUGAUACCAUCUAUGCAUGUGCCUCCGUUCUUACAGGGUGAUGACGCACAGUCGUUUAUAUCUGCAGGCAAAGAGAGGAGACACACAAAUGGAUUUCCUUUUUGAGUUUUUCCCCCUCUGCUCAGACUAAACUAAGAGAGUGAUGAUUGGUGAAACUUGAGUCUGCAUUACCUAGGUGCCAGUGAAUCCUGGCUCACAGGAGCAGCUGAAGUUCCCGGCAGGAAGGCUGAUGCAACGACCGUGGGGGCCGCACACAUUGGAAGAGAUGUGCCACACCCGCUUUUGGGUGUCGUUAGUUGCCACAGCAACUGUGCAACUAUCAAUCACUUAGGGGGGAA